rnacentral:misc_RNA from 1 species
AACUAGACCAAUGGAACAGUGCAAUACAUGGCACUAAAAUUGAAAAAUUGAAUUUUCUCUUAGGAGAGUUAGAAAUUGAAAUGGCAACCAAGACCAAUAAAUUAGGUACUCAAAAUAUGGUAUGUGGGUGUAAUGAGAAUUGGUAUACCUAUUUAGUGUGGAAAAGUCAACAUUUUGAUCAAACGGUCAAAUGAAUAGUAACCACCAUAAUCAAGAACAUAAAGAACUCAAUUUAUGGGAUUAUAUAAGCAAAGUUUAAAUGCAAAUUUCAAUUGCUAAAAUUUUGGAUAAAUAUUGAAACAUCUUAAUUGUGUACUUCAG